UUUUAAUCUGUUCUGCAAAGAUAUAAAAGGAAUUGAAAAGCGCACAGCUCUGUAGCUGUGACCGUCCACCUGGAGAUCUCUGACUCCACAGGGAAGACUCAGACCUUACGACUGCACCUCGGAGUGUUUUACCACACGUCAUCUCACGCAAGACUCAUUCCUUACAGUCAGAAACAUGCGCAAUUUGAAAAAACUUUUCUUGCAGACAUUUGGAAAGCUACGUUUCUCUUCCGUGGGUGGUAGAUGAAAUCUCAGUGUUUGAUCAUCCAUGACCUUAGGGGAAAGAUAAAUAUUCCAUUCCACUUCAGCCCAGUUUCCCAGGGCACAACCAAUUUUCCCAAUGGAGAGUGGAUUAAAUUUGCAGAUAAAACAGUAUUGAGGAGAAAGAACUGGCCUAGGAGCCUCAAGGGAGCGGGUUCAGAGGUGGUUUAGGGAGAAUCACUUCCUUUCCGGAGCGCGGUUUCUCUACCACAGGCAACAUCAUUGCACUGGAUAAUGAUGGCUCUGUCCCUCCAAAUCGCUCACAAUCUGGAAAUGAGAGUGGAUUUCUUCUUCCCUUUUAUGCCCCUUCAAACAACAACAGGACCCUCAGGGGGUCCUGCCCAGCAGCUUGGACAGUGAAUCCAGUGGUGGACAGUGACAACAAGGGUCACAAAAGAGAAGCUUCCCACAGCCCCACGUCAGCUGUACAGUCCUUGAGGACCACUGGGAGUAAAGGAGAGCCGUGGUGAAACUAUGGAGACAAUAAAAAGAACAGUGGUUACCAGGGGUUUGGGGUGGGAACGGUGACAGUCAGAGCAGAGAGAACACUCUGUACAAUACUGUAAUAGUGGAUACACGAUAGUGGAUACAUAUCAUUAUACAGUUUGUUCAAACCCAUAGAAUGCACAACAGAGUGAGCCCUAAUGUAAACCGUGGACUCUGGGUGAUUACGAUGUGUCAACGUAGGUUCGUCGGUUGUAACAAAUGUACCCCUCUGGUGGGGGAUGUUGAUAAUGGGGACACUAUGCACAUGUGGGGACAGGAAGUAUAUGGGACAUCUCUGUAUCUUCCCCUUGGUUUUGCUGUGAACCUUAAACUGCUUUAAACAAUACUAAAGUAUGAGUUUUUGAAAAAAGGAGAAAAAGAGGGGAAAAGAAAUAGAGUAGAGAAGUUCUGGAGAAAAAAAUAGCCACUAACAAUAACUUACCAUGUACAAAGCAUACUCCCACCCAUCACCACAUCUGAUGUUCACAUUCACCUUGCAGGGUAGGUGUGAUUUCCACCCGCACUUUACAGAGACGGUAAGUGAAGCUCUGAGAAGUAAGUGACUUACACAAGGUCACUUGGCUCAUAAGUGGUAGAGUUAGGAUUCUAAAUACUUUUCACUUCAGAGUAUCAGCUCAGUCUUUAAUGUGCAAUUGUCACCACUAUACGUCAAUGAAGCUGUAUGCAGUUGUCUCAGAAGCACACGUAGAGAAAUGCAGCAUAAACUUCUUCUAACAA